rnacentral:rRNA from 1 species
GACGAACGCUGGCGGCGUGCUUAACACAUGCAAGUCGAACGCGCCUGUCCUCUGGGUUUCUGGGGGGUGGGUGAGUGGCGAACGGGUGAGUAACACGUGAGUAACCUGCCCCCUUCUUCGGGAUAACGGUCUGAAAGGGCUGCUAAUACCGGGUAUUCACUGGUCUCCGCAUGGGGUCUGGUGGAAAGGUUUUUUUCUGGUGGGGGGUGGGCUCGCGGCAUAUCAGCUUGUUGGUGGGGUGAUGGCCCACCAAGGGUUUGACGGCUAGCCGGCCUGAGAGGGUGCCCGAUCACAUUGGACCUGAGAUACGGCCCGGACUCCUACGGGAGGCAGCAGUGGGGAAUAUUGCAAGAUGGGCGAAAGCAUGAUGCAGCGACGCCGCCUGAGGGAUGGAGGCCUUCGGGUUGUGAACCUCUUUCGCCCGUGGUCAAGCCGCGACGUGGGUCGUGGUGAGGGUAGUGGGUAAAGAAGCGCCGGCUAACUCCGUG